UACCAGCACCCCGAGUGGUCGGGACGUUUUAUUGGGCCUAAAGCAUCCGUAGCCGGUUCUACAAGUCUUCCGUUAAAUCCACCUGCUUAACAGAUGGGCUGCGGAAGAUACUAUAGAGCUAGGAGGCGGGGAGAGGCAAAGCGGUACUCGAUGGGGUAGGGGGUAAAAAUCCGUUGAUCCAUUGAAGACCACCAGUGGCGAAGGCGGCUUGCCAGAACGCGCUCGACGGUGAGGGAUGAAAGCUGGGGGGAGCAAACCGG
rnacentral:rRNA from 1 species